GGGCUUCGGAGUUGACGUCACGCCGCAAUGCAUUGUGGGAGCGCGGCGGCAUUUUCGGGGUCUACGAAUCAAAACAAACACACUGUGUUGGAACGACGAUUACAAGAUGCUUAAAAGCUGCUCAAACGAGAAUGGACUGUAUAGAGACCGAUUGCGUCCAGAGGCGAAGCGGCGGUACUUGCAGAAAAUAGCUGCAGUGGAAAUGUGGACCCGUAUGAAAUACGGCCGUGGAGUAGAAACCCUGAAGACCAACCGCUAUUGACGUAGCCUGACAUAUUUCAUACCUUGUCUGUGGAGUCAGCGCGUACAAGUGGUCAUUCAAACAAAGGUGCUGCACUCUAAGACUGAAUGAACCAGCAUUGCAGCCAUGGGUCACUGUGAGCAUCACAGGGAAGGUUGAAGCCGCCCGCUGCAGCUGCAUGGCCGGAGUCGCAGAGACCUGCAGCCAUGUCGCUGCUCUUCUGUCUAAAGUAGAUGGAACAGUGUUGAUCCGUGGCACAAGGACUGUUACACAUGAACCUGCAUACUGGGUUUGCUGGGUAAUGUGACCAAGAUACAGCCAGAGGUUGGCCAUAAGAUAGACUUCUCCUCUUCAGCUGCCCAAAAAAAGGCUCUUGAUCAAAACAUACACAGACAAUCUGUAGUGACAGGGAAAAGGAGCCUCAAAACAGAAAAAUCCCACCUGCUACUGUGGAGGAGUUGUCACUGCUAUAAUGCCAUCAUGUUUUAUCUAGGGGUCUAGAUGUAUGCCUGUAGUGCACUGCCGUGUAAAUAAUUUGCAUUUACUGAAUAUGUACUGACUGAGUCCCGCUGUUCAAAAGUUGAAUAAAGAAACAAAAUAA